UGAGGAAUAUUGGACAAUGGAUGGAAAUCUGAUCCAGCCAUGCCGCGUGCAGGAAGAAUGUCCUAUGGAUUGUAAACUGCUUUUGUAUGGGAGCAAUAAGGUCUUCGUGAAGGCCGAUGACAGUACCAUACGAAUAAGCACCGGCUAACUCCGUGCCAGCAGCCGCGGUAAUACGGAGGGUGCAAGCGUUAUCCGGAUUUAUUGGGUUUAAAGGGUGCGUAGGCGGUUAUAUAAGUCAGCGGUGAAAUUUUUCAGCUUAACUGGAAACAUGCCGUUGAUACUGUAUAGCUUGAAUAUGGUUGCUGUGAGUGGAAUGUGUAGUGUAGCGGUGAAAUGCUUAGAUAGUACACAGAAUAUCGAUUGCGAAGGCAACUCACAAAGCCAUUAUUGACGCUGAGGCACGAAAGUGUGGGGAUCAAACA
rnacentral:rRNA from 1 species